rnacentral:lncRNA from 1 species
GGUACCCGAGGCCGGGCCGGAGCCGCAGGCCAGCCGCGAUUCCUUCGGGCGAUGCUGGGGGCUUUCCGGUCGGGGCCGCAGCCGCUUCCGGAGCCGCGGGCGAGAUUUUUAGGGCAGUUUUUAGUGUCAUUAUGUUGCUGCUACAUAUUUGGAAGAUGGAACAAGCCCAGACAAAGGAGGAUUCUUUUUUACUCAUCUUAAAUCCAUUUUAUUUUCCUUCAUCUGAGCCCCUUAAAACUAAUGUGUUACUGGAAUGGAUUUUCUUCUGUGUAUUGCUGACACGAACAGGAGACGGAAAUACUGAGUAGAAGAGGGCGGUUCCCUGGCUAAGGCCCCACCCUCAAGCCUGGAUACCCGCGGCCCUAAAUGAGAAGAGGCGUUUCUGUUUGGGGCCCAAAAAGUUGCUUUUUGACCCACCACGCCCCCUAUCCUGCCCCCAUAUAAACCCCAAACCCCAACCUCCAGAGCAUACCAGCAGGUGAGGAGAUACGAGGCAAGCCGACUGACGGCAAAACGACGUAGCAGAGAAAGAGAGAAGAGGAGGGACGUCUGGACACCGAGAGAUGUUUGGCUCGGGGCAGUCAGAGCGGAGUCCAGCCCCUGGGCGGCCCAACUCCAGGGGAAGAUCACCUUCCCACUUCAUCCAUCCCCACCCUUCCAGCUCCCCAUCCAUCCUGCUGAAAGCCAUUUCCACCACUCAAUAAAACCUCGCAUUCAUCCUUCAAGUCCGUGUGUGACCCGAUUUUUCCUGGAUUCUGGAAAAGAGCUCGGAAUACAGAAAGCUGUCCCCUGGUCCUUUGCCCUUGUGAAAAAGCAGAAGGUCCAUUGAGCUGGUUAACACUCCAGCUGUCUGUGGUGGCCAAGCUGAAAGAGCUUUGUAACACUGGGGUUGCAGGCACCCACCUCUAGACGCUACCGCAGAGCCAGAGCCCAAAGCCCUCACCCCGGCCUCUGCACUUGCCCAUCUGCGUGCUCCCCCUCUCGCAAGGGGUUUCUGCAGAGGGGGCUACUGAACAGGUGAGCCACACCCCUGUCGCACGCCCUGCAAGGGGAAUCAGGGAACUCUUCCGUUUCAUUGCUUUGACCACAUCCUAUAAAUCUUGUUCUCCUUGUCUUUCAGCUCCAAUUUGUUUAUACAUUCAGUUUUUACUUUUGACUUUACUCAUGAUUUAUUAUAGAAAGAUGUUUAACAAUUUUCAAGCAAAUGGAAUAAUUUUUGCUCCUCUUUCGUUGUUAAUUUAUUAUUCAUUGGAGUUAGAAAAUUGUUGCUAAAAUAAAUUCUGCAUUUUGAAAUU